rnacentral:rRNA from 1 species
AUUGAACGCUGGCGGCAGGCUUAACACAUGCAAGUCGAACGACUGCCGGACGUGUUUGUAAUGCUUUGGCAUCUUGCUUAUGGCUGGUGAUAUCUACUUGUAACUGUAGCUACUCCCGCCUACCAUAGGCUGAGCCCUAGUGGGAUUAGGUAGUUGGUGAGGUAAAGGCUCACCAAGCCGACGAUCUCUCGCUGGUCUGAGAGGAUGACCAGCCACACGGGGACUGGGACACGGGCCAGACUCAUACGGGAGGCAGCAGUGGGGAAUAUUGCGCAAGGGGGGAAACCUGACGCAGCCAUGCCGCGUGAAUGAAGAAGGCCUUCGGGUUGUAAAGUUCUUUAGGUAGCGAGGCGUGAACUAAAGAAGAAGGAAAGGCUAACUCCGUGCCAGCAGCCGCGGUAAUUG